AGCCAACAAUCUGUUAUGUGAUCACACCCUUCUCCACGUAUGCGGAUAAUUCCAUUUUGUCACGUCACUCUUUCUUUCUCUGUACACAAACAACCCAGACAGCCCACACACCAAGCCUAAAGCCUUCCCCAAAAUAUUUCUUUGCUUUUCGCUCCAUUUUCCCUGUGCUUUUCUCGCCAACCAAGCAGAUUUUCCGACCAGUUUUAUCUCCUAGCUUGUACAUGGCCACUAAAUUGUGCCACAACGGCUUUCUAUCACCAAGCUCUUCAAAUCCAUGGCAUUCGCGGACGCCAGCUAGAAUAUAUUAUUCUGGAAAUAAGGUGGUUGAUUUGGACCAUCUAUUAUGUAACUGGGGUUAUUCAAGGAAGAGAUGCUUUAUAAGACUUGCUUUGUUAGAGCACAGUAAUGGUUACAGUCUUAAUCUCCGAGCAGUGGGACAUAGGAAAUGCUAUCUAAACUUUCGAAAAGCAAGGAGGAUGGGUAACCUAGUUCCGCUUGCAUCUGCUGAUGAUGGUGUCACAGUCAACGGGAUUCCUCAAGCAAGUACCAGUAGGGAUGUUGAGGCCAUAAAGGUCAAACUUAAUCAAUCACUUAAUGGUGAAGAUUCUAGCGAUGGACUUGUCCAAUUUUUACAUGACGCAGCCAGGGUUUUUGAGUUAGCAAUUAAGGAACAGGGUUCAUUCUCAAAGUUGUCUUGGUUUUCAACUGCAUGGCUUAGUGUAGACAAAAAUGCCUGGGUCAAAGCACUGUGUUAUCAGGCUUCAGUGUAUUCCUUAUUGCAAGCUGCAAGCGAGAUUGCAUCCCGGGGGGAUGGUAGAGACAGAGACAUAAAUGUUUUUGUCCAAAGGAGUUUAUUACGACAAUCUGCUUCCCUUGAGAGCUUAAUCCGGGAUCAACUAUCAGCCAAGCAACCUGAAGCUUAUGAGUGGUUUUUCUCUGAGCAAGUUCCAUUGGUGGUAACAUCCUUUGUUAAUUAUUUUGAAGGGGACUCUCGCUUUACUGCUGCAACUAUCGCGUCUAGGAAGGGAACACUCUUGGAGUCUAGCAACACAAGUGACAUAUCUCUCCUUAUGCUUGCACUGACAUGCAAUGCCGCAAUUACAAAGCUUGGGCAAGCAAAAGUAUCGUGCCCUCAAUUCUUUUCGACAAUUCCUGAUAUAACCGGCAGAUUGAUGGACAUGCUGGUUGAUUUUAUUCCUAUACGCCAGGCUUAUCUUUCUGUAAAGGAUAUUGGUCUGCGCAGAGAGUUCCUUGUUCAUUUUGGUCCUCGAGCUGCAGCAUGUAGAGUGAAAAAUGAUCGAGGUUCAGAAGAAGUUGUUUUCUGGGUGGAUCUUGUACAGAUGCAGGUACAGCGAGCUAUAGAUAGAGAGAGAAUAUGGUCAAGACUUACAACCUCUGAAAGUAUUGAGGUAUUGGAGAGGGAUCUGGCUAUAUUUGGAUUCUUUAUUGCCUUGGGUAGAAGCUCUCAAAACUUUCUAUCAGCAAAUGGAUUUGAUGUUUUAGAUGAACCACUUGGAGGCUUUGUUAGGUUCCUGAUUGGGGGCAGCAUCUUAUACUAUCCACAGCUUUCAUCAAUAAGUUCCUAUCAAUUGUAUGUAGAGGUAGUCUGUGAAGAGCUGGACUGGCUUUCAUUUUAUCCUGGCAAUUCAGGCACCCCUAAACAGUCUCACGGGCAUAAAAGUAAAUGGGAAGGACCUCCCAAUGCAGAAGCAAUCCCCCAAGUCCUAGAAGUAUGUCUUCAUUGGAUGCAGAGUUUUAUCAAAUACAGUAAAUGGCUGGAGAGCCCUUCUAAUGUUAAGGCAGCGAGAUUCUUGUCUAGAGGGCACAACAAAUUAGUGGAGUGUAUGGAAGAACGGGGUUUAUUGAAGAAUGAAAAGAUGAAAAGCUAUUCCGAUAACACUGUUGAGAGGACUAGAUCUGGAACUCGUCCACCAACUGAGAAAGAAUUGGAUUCUUUUGACAAGGCCUUGGAGAGUGUUGAAGAAGCUGUGAUAAGACUAGAAAAGUUGCUUCAGGAUUUGCAUGUGUCAAGUUCUAACUCAGGAAAAGAGCAUAUAAAAGCUGCUUGUUCUGACCUUGAGAAGAUAAGGAAGCUCAAGAAAGAGGCUGAAUUUUUGGAGGCGUCCUUUAGAACCAAAGCAGCUUCCCUUAAGGAGGAGGGUAAUCGCUCCCGGUCUUCUAUUAGCAAGCAGCAACAGUUCCUUAUAGGGAAAAACAGAAAGAAUGGUAACACGCUGAUUGAUGGGGGCAACAGAGCUUCCAGCAACUCUCGCGGAUUGUGGAGCUCCUUUAUGCGCCCUCCAACCAGAAAGUCCAAUCCUGAGUUGAUCGUGGAAGAAUCUGAUAAUGAAUUUGUUGAGCAGACUGCUUCAAAUAUUGAUUUUGAAGACCCAGAAUCAACUAAAAUCCAGCGUUUUGAACUUUUAAGGAAUGAGCUGAUAGAACUUGAAAAGCGGGUGCAAAGGAGUGCUGAUCAAUCAGAAAAUGAGGAGGAUAUUCAGCCUGCUGAUGAUAGUUCUAAGUAUGAGGAUGACAUUGGAGCUGCUCAACUAGUCCAAAUUCAGAAGAAAGAGAAUAUCAUUGAAAAAUCGUUUGACAAGCUAAAAGAAGCUAGCACGAAUGUGUGGCAAGGAACUCAAUUGCUAGCUAUUGACACUGCUGCUGCUACGGGGUUGCUUAGAAGGGUCUUGAUUGGAGAUGAACUGACAGAAAAAGAAAAGAAAAUUUUACGAAGAACUCUGACCGACUUAGCAUCAGUUGUUCCUAUUGGUGUCUUAAUGCUUCUUCCUGUCACUGCUGUUGGACAUGCAGCUAUGUUGGCUGCUAUUCAGAGAUAUGUACCAGCUCUGAUACCAUCGACCUAUGGACCAGAAAGAUUGGAUCUCUUGAGGCAGAUUGAGAAACUGAAGGAAAUGGAAAGCAGUGAAGACAGUUCCAACGAAAGCAUGGAGGAACUAGCUUGAGUAGAAGCAAUGCUGAUUAUGUACAGUUGUCCAUACUCAAAAUAAAUUUUCGAAUUCGAGGCACUCCGGGUAGGCACCAGUGGCUGCAAUCUUGUGGAGCAUCGGCUGGAGUCCCUGGCUCACGAUACUUUGAAGGGUGACCAUCCUUCCUGAACUCUGUUAGAUAUGUGAUGUUUAAGAACUGGACUUUCCAGUUUUCAUAUUCCAUCUGUUUGAUUGAUUCAGAUAUGUAUAGAUUAUUCAUUGGGUCAGCUUCAAGAUUUUUGUAGUCUGUUUCUGGCUCCAAAUAGGUAUCGCAAAGUCCCCCUUCAUUCCAUGUCCCGUUCCUGCAAUUUACAUGUUAAAACCUCUUAGACUCUUUAAUUAUCAAUUCCAUAAUUGAGGCCAUGCAUGGUGGCAACUGUUAAGGAAUAGAAAGUUGUAAAGUCACCAAA